rnacentral:rRNA from 1 species
UACGGGGGGGGCAAGCGUUGUUCGGAAUUACUGGGCGUAAAGGGCUCGUAGGCGGCCAACUAAGUCGGAUGUGAAAUCCCCAGGCUUAACCUGGGAACUGCAUUCGAGACUGCAUUGCUAGAGUAUGGGAGAAGGAAGUGGAAUUUCCGGUGUAGCGGUGAAAUGCGUAGAUAUCGGAAGGAACAUCAGUGGCGAAAGCGGCUUCCUGGACCAAUACUGACGCUCAUGUGCGAAAGCGUGGGGAGCAAACAGG